rnacentral:rRNA from 1 species
UACGAAGGGGGCUAGCGUUGCUCGGAAUCACUGGGCGUAAAGCGCACGUAGGCGGACUCUUAAGUCAGGGGUGAAAUCCUGGAGCUCAACUCCAGAACUGCCUUUGAUACUGGGGAUCUCGAGUCCGGAAGAGGUGAGUGGAACUCCGAGUGUAGAGGUGAAAUUCGUAGAUAUUCGGAAGAACACCAGUGGCGAAGGCGGCUCACUGGUCCGGUACUGGACGCUGAGGUGCGAAAGCGUGGGGAGCAAACAGGG